rnacentral:rRNA from 1 species
UACGAAGGGGGCUAGCGUUGCUCGGAAUCACUGGGCGUAAAGGGUGCGUAGGCGGGUCUUUAAGUCAGAGGUGAAAUCCUGGAGCUCAACUCCAGAACUGCCUUUGAUACUGAGGAUCUUGAGUUCGGGAGAGGUGAAUGGAACUGCGAGUGUAGAGGUGAAAUUCGUAGAUAUUCGCAAGAACACCAGUGGCGAAGGCGGCUCACUGGCCCGGUACUGACGCUGAGGUGCGAAAGCGUAGGGAGCAAACGAG